UACGUAGGGUCCGAGCGUUGUCCGGAAUUAUUGGGCGUAAAGGGCUCGUAGGCGGUCCGUCACGUCGGGUGUGAAAACUCAGGGCUCAACCCUGAGCGUGCUUCCGAUACGGGCGGACUAGAGGUAUGCAGGGGAGAACGGAAUUCCUGGUGUAGCGGUGGAAUGCGCAGAUAUCAGGAGGAACACCGGUGGCGAAGGCGGUUCUCUGGGCAUUACCUGACGCUGAGGAGCGAAAGCAUGGGGAGCGAACGGG
rnacentral:rRNA from 1 species